CGCCCAUUAGCUAGCCCAACACCCAAAACCAACACACCCCCAUUCAUACCCCCAAAUACACUAAUUUACCUCAAAACAAACCAUUUUACCCCCUUAGUAUAGGCGAUAGAAAAGGACAUAAGGAGCAACAGAGAAAGUACCGCAAGGGAAAGCUGAAAGAGAAAUGAAACAACCCAGUAAAGCACAAAAAAGCAGAGAUACCCCCUCGUACCUUUUGCAUCAUGAUUUAGCUAGAAAGCCCCAAGCAAAGAGCCCUUUAGUUUGACUUCCCGAAACUUAGUGAGCUACUCCAAGACAGCCUAUAAACAGGGCAAACCCGUCUCUGUGGCAAAAGAGUGGGAAGAGCUUCGAGUAGAGGUGACAGACCUACCGAACUAAGUUAUAGCUGGUUACCUGUGAAAUGGAUAGAAGUUCAGCCUCCCGGCUUCUUUAAUCACCCCUGUCUUACUCCGUUCUGACACCCUAAGAAACCGCGAGAGUUAAUCAAAGGGGGUACAGCCCCUUUGAUAAAAGACACAACUUUUCCAGGAGGGUAAAGAUCACACUAAACUAUUAAGGUUCCUGUGUUUAGGUGGGCCUAAAAGCAGCCAUCCCUGUAGAAAGCGUUAAAGCUCAAACACAUACCUCCCCUAUUAUCCUGAUAAUACCUUCUUAACCCCCUAACCAUAACAGGUUAUCCCAUGCCCACAUGGGAGAAAUUAUGCUAAUAUGAGUAAUAAGAGAACACGCCUCUCUCCUAGCACACGUGUAAAUCGGAACGAACCCCCACCGAGUAUUAACGGCCCCAAACAAAGAGGGAAAUGAACAACAUACCAAACGACUAGAAAACCACUCAAUACAACCCAACCGUUAACCCCACACUGGUGUGCUCAAAUGGAAAGACUAAAAGAAAGAGAAGGAACUCGGCAAACACAUGAAGCCUCGCCUGUUUACCAAAAACAUCGCCUCUUGCAAAAUUAAUGAAUAAGAGGUCCCGCCUGCCCUGUGACUAUAUGUUUAACGGCCGCGGUAUUUUGACCGUGCGAAGGUAGCGCAAUCACUUGUCUUUUAAAUGGAGACCUGUAUGAAUGGCAUAACGAGGGCUUAGCUGUCUCCUCUUUCAAGUCAAUGAAAUUGAUCUCCCCGUGCAGAAGCGGGGAUAAUCUCGUAAGACGAGAAGACCCUAUGGAGCUUUAGACACCAAAGCAGAUCAUGUUAAACACCCUUAAAUAAGAGACUAAACAAGAUGAAACCUGCCCUAAUGUCUUUGGUUGGGGCGACCGCGGGGAAACACAAAACCCCCACGUGGAAUGGGACUACCCGUCCUACAGCCAUAGAGCUCCCGCUCUAAGCAACAGAAUUUCUGACCAAUAAGAUCCGGCAAAGCCGAUCAACGGACCGAGUUACCCUAGGGAUAACAGCGCAAUCCUCUUUUAGAGCCCAUAUCGACAAGAGGGUUUACGACCUCGAUGUUGGAUCAGGACAUCCUAAUGGUGCAGCCGCUAUUAAGGGUUCGUUUGUUCAACGAUUAAAGUCCUACGUGAUCUGAGUUCAGACCGGAGUAAUCCAGGUCAGUUUCUAUCUACGAUGUGAUCUUUUCUAGUACGAAAGGACCGAAAAGAAGAGGCCAAUACCAUCGGCACGCCUCACCCUCACCUAAUGAAACCAACUAAAAUAGACAAAAGGGCAUAUCCCUGCGCCUGAGAAAAUGGCAU
rnacentral:rRNA from 1 species